rnacentral:rRNA from 1 species
UACGAAGGGUGCAAGCGUUACUCGGAAUUACUGGGCGUAAAGCGUGCGUAGGUGGUUUGUUAAGUCUGAUGUGAAAGCCCUGGGCUCAACCUGGGAAUUGCAUUGGAUACUGGCAGGCUAGAGUGCGGUAGAGGAUGGCGGAAUUCCCGGUGUAGCAGUGAAAUCCGUUGAUAUCAUGGGGAACACCAAAAGCGAAGGCAAUUCACUAGCGCAUUUCUGACGCUGAGACACGAAAGCGUGGGUAGCGAACGGG